AAUGGAGCGGCUUUGCAAGGCGCUGUCACAGCGAUCAGCCAAUCAGGUGAGCGCAACGAAUUUGCGCUUCCUGAUUGGCUUAGAGACCUGUCAGUGACAACUGUCACUGUCAGAUCUUAAUCGUGGAAAGGUGACCCAUGUGUCAACAUGGGACACCUUUCAGUCCGUUAUGGAGCGGGUAAAUGCGCUUUCUUUUUUUGCCAAGUACGUGGAUUUAUCUCUGGAGCCUGUUGAGGAUUUGUGGACCGAACUCCAGCUCACAGACACAGAAGGUCGACAUGAACACCAUGAACGUGCUGUGCUCGCCAUGCUUAUAUUCCUACUCCAGGUCCACUGGUAUG